GGAGGGUGUAGCUCAGUGGUAGAGCGCAUGCCUAGCAUGCAUGAGGUCCUGGGUUCAAUCCCUAGUACCUCCA
rnacentral:tRNA from 1 species